rnacentral:rRNA from 1 species
AACGCGAAGAACCUUACCAGGUCUUGACAUCCCUCUGAUCGCUGUAGAGAUAUGGCUUUCCUUCGGGACAGAGGAGACAGGUGGUGCAUGGUUGUCGUCAGCUCGUGUCGUGAGAUGUUGGGUUAAGUCCCGCAACGAGCGCAACCCUUAUGCUUAGUUGCCAGCAGGUCAAGCUGGGCACUCUAAGCAGACUGCCGGUGACAAACCGGAGGAAGGUGGGGAUGACGUCAAAUCAUCAUGCCCCUUAUGACCUGGGCUACACACGUACUACAAUGGCCGGUACAACGGGAAGCGAAAGAGCGAUCUGGAGCGAAUCCUAGAAAAGCCGGUCUCAGUUCGGAUUGCAGGCUGCAACUCGCCUGCAUGAAGUCGGAAUUGCUAGUAAUCGCGGAUCAGCAUGCCGCGGUGAAUACGUUCCCGGGCCUUGUACACACCGGAGUA